rnacentral:rRNA from 1 species
GAUGAACGCUGGCGGCGUGCCUAAUACAUGCAAGUCGAACGGACAGACGAGGAGCUUGCUGCUCUCACGUUAGCGGAGGGCGGGUGAGUAACACGUGGAUAACCUACCUAUCAGACUGGGAUAACUUCGGGACAGCGGAGCUAAUCCCGGAGAAUCUAUUGAACCGCAUUGUUCAAUGGUAAGAGACGGUUUUGCUGUCACUACUCGAUGGAUCCGCGCCGCAUGAGCUAGUUGGUAAGUUAACGGGUUACCAAGGCAACGAUGCGUAGCCGACCUGAGAGGGGGGUCGGCCACAUUGGAACGGAGACACGGUCCAGACGCCUACGGGAGGCAGCAGUAGGGAACCGGCGGCAACGGGCGAAAGCAUGACGGAGCGACGCGGCGUGUGAGAUGAAGGUGUUCGGAUCGUAAAACUCUGUUAUUAGUGAAGAACAAAUGUGUAAGUAACUAUGCACGUCUUGACGGUACCUAAUCAGAAAGCCACGGCUAACUACGUG